rnacentral:rRNA from 1 species
GAUGAACGCUGGCGGCGUGCCUAAUACAUGCAAGUCGAGCGAACGGACGAGGAGCUUGCUCCUCUGACGUUAGCGGCGGACGGGUGAGUAACACGUGGAUAACCUACCUAUAAGACUGGGAUAACUUCGGGAAACCGGAGCUAAUACCGGAUAAUAUAUUGAACCGCAUGGUUCAAUAGUGAAAGACGGUUUUGCUGUCACUUAUAGAUGGAUCCGCGCCGCAUUAGCUAGUUGGUAAGGUAACGGCUUACCAAGGCAACGAUGCGUAGCCGACCUGAGAGGGUGAUCGGCCACACUGGAACUGAGACACGGUCCAGACUCCUACGGGAGGCAGCAGUAGGGAAUCUUCCGCAAUGGGCGAAAGCCUGACGGAGCAACGCCGCGUGAGUGAUGAAGGUCUUCGGAUCGUAAAACUCUGUUAUUAGGGAAGAACAUAUGUGUAAGUAACUGUGCACAUCUUGACGGUACCUAAUCAGAAAGCCACGGCUAACUACGUG